UACAGAGGUCCCAAGCGUUGUUCGGAUUCACUGGGCGUAAAGGGCGCGUAGGUGGCCGGGUAAGUCUGACGUGAAAUCUCCGAGCCUAACUCGGAAACUGCAUCGGAUACUAUCCGGCUUGAGGGUUGGAGGGGGGACUGGAAUACUUGGUGUAGCAGUGAAAUGCGUAGAUAUCAAGUGGAACACCAGUGGCGAAGGCGAGUCCCUGGACAACUCCUGACACUGAGGCACGAAAGCUAGGGGAGCAAACAGG
rnacentral:rRNA from 1 species